rnacentral:rRNA from 1 species
UACGUAGGGUGCAAGCGUUGUCCGGAAUUAUUGGGCGUAAAGAGCUCGUAGGCGGUCUGUCGCGUCUGCUGUGGAAACCUAGGGCUUAACUCUGGGCGUGCAGUGGGUACGGGCAGGCUAGAGUGCGGUAGGGGAGACUGGAAUUCCUGGUGUAGCGGUGAAAUGCGCAGAUAUCAGGAGGAACACCGGUGGCGAAGGCGGGUCUCUGGGCCGUAACUGACGCUGAGGAGCGAAAGCAUGGGGAGCGAACAGG